AGUCAGGCUGCUGGUUAUAUUC
rnacentral:miRNA from 1 species